GUCGCAGGUUCGAAUCCUGCACGACCCACCAAUUUCAGCAUUUAACUCAGAUGCUGAACGUGAAGGAUAACGUUGCGACAGCAACGGCCCGAAGGGCGAGGCGAAGCCGAGUCAUCCUGCACGACCCACCA
rnacentral:sRNA from 1 species